UUCAUAGAAAAUACACCUGACUCCAUCCAUUGACUUCUAUAAGAAAUUAGCCUUGGACUGUUCUGGUCAACAGGUAGCUGUUGACUUAUUCCUUCUCAGUGGACAGUAUUCUGAUUUGGCUUCUCCGGACUUCCUGUCUCUGCCCAAUGUCAACCCAGAUGCCAGGUAUACAGUACAGAUGUCAGCGGAAAAGAGUCUUCCUGACAUGCAGUUGGGUUCUUUUCAGUCAGCACUCUUGUAUACAUCAAGCAAAGGUGAAAGAAGAAUACUAUCCGUACUUUGUGUUUGCCAGUAGUUUCAACUCUGAAUGAAGUCUUUCUGGAAGCUGAUGUUCAAGCAAUUUCAGGGUUAUUGGCCAAUAUGGAAAUCAUUCCAGACUGGACAAACGUGUAUCUAGAAGAACACAUUUUGCUGUGUCAAGUGCAAACCCAGCCCUUGGUUCACCUUAUGCUCACAACUCAUCCCAGUUUGUACAGAAUUGACAAUCUCUCAGAUGAGGAAAGAUGGAUUCCUUUUUUUAGUGGCUUUUUCUAGAUGUUUUCUAAGCGUAAUCAUACUCAUUCCAGUGCUGAAUUGAGAAGAGGUUUGUUUGUUAUCUAAAGCUUUAUAUUUUUAUCUUUUUGCUAGUUAUAUGUAGAGAGAUACUGGUUCAGGGAAGCUCCUGAAAAUAGUACCUUUAUUUAGUUUCCUAAGUCAAGUCUCUAGAACAGAUGUAAGAAAUAAAGAAAAUGUCAAGUUGACCA
rnacentral:lncRNA from 1 species